rnacentral:rRNA from 1 species
CACGUAGGGCGCAAGCGUUGUCCGGAAUUAUUGGGCGUAAAGAGCUCGUAGGCGGCCUGUUGCGUCCGCUGUGAAAGCCCGGGGCUUAACCCCGGGUCGGCAGUGGAUACGGGCAGGCUAGAGGUAGGUAGGGGAGAAUGGAAUUCCCGGUGUAGCGGUGAAAUGCGCAGAUAUCGGGAGGAACACCGGUGGCGAAGGCGGU